rnacentral:misc_RNA from 1 species
GUGAUUAAAUCGAGGCGUGUCUUCAUUGACCGCUCACCCUUCUCACCAUCCACAUACACCUGUGCACUGUUUAUGACCUGUAGCCUGCGUUUCUUCCGGUCCAGGUUUAUCAUUCAUACAAACUCUAGUACUUAUAAUGUAAACGUUUUAAUAACAUAAUA